rnacentral:rRNA from 1 species
GACGAACGCUGGCGGCGUGCUUAACACAUGCAAGUCGAACGGAAAGGCCCUGCUUUUGUGGUGUGCUCGAGUGGCGAACGGGUGAGUAACACGUGAGUAACCUGCCCUUGACUUUGGGAUAACUUCAGGAAACUGGGGCUAAUACCGGAUAGGAUCUCCUGCUGCAUGGUGGGGGUUGGAAAGUUUCGGCGGUUGGGGAUGGACUCGCGGCUUAUCAGCUUGUUGGUGGGGUAGUGGCUUACCAAGGCUUUGACGGGUAGCCGGCAUGAGAGGGUGACCGGCCACAUUGGGACUGAGAUACGGCCCAGAGUCCUACGGGAGGCAGAAGUGGGGAAUAUUGCACAAUGGGCGGGAGCCUGAUGCAGCAACGCCGCGUGCGGGAUGACGGCCUUCGGGUUGUAAACCGCUUUAGCCUGUGACGAAGCGUGAGUGACGGUAAUGGGUAAAGAAGCACCGGCUAACUACGUG